CCAGGACCACCACCAGGACCAACCGACGGGACCCAGGAUUUUUUUUUUUUUAUUUCUUUCUUUUUUUUUCUUUUUUUUCUUUUUUUCUGUUUCAGGUGGUCCUAUUGAGGAGGCCUCCACGUGGCAGGACUGGUAACAGCUUACCGUAUUUAUCCGCAAAUAAGCCCCCUCCCCCUUUUUUUCUUUUGAUUUUAAAAUAAUGAGAUAAGUGAUAGCAAAUAAAUCCUCCCCAAAUUUACCUUUUACAUUUGGAAAGAUGGGUUAUUUAAGGAUAAAUACGGUACACAUAAACGUAUAUUUAUGUGGGCUGGCUAACAUCCUCGUACAUAUCUCCCCUUUAAAUCUUCCCAGAGAGAGCCAACCUUUUUGGUGUUUGAUGGUUUAUUCUUACAGAACGAACAACCAAUUUUGGAAAAAAUCAUUCCACUGGUAGGGAUUGCACCAAGUUUUCUUUGGAGAAGGACAUUUAAUGUAAAAAAAAAAAAAAAAGGGAUGUCAUCUUGACUUGACCAGAUGGUGUAGAAUUUAAUUUGCUCAAAUUGAGUGUCCUGAAAUUUUCUUGGUUAAUAAAUAGAUUGGAAAAUGAC